rnacentral:tRNA from 1 species
GCGUCGACCUGUUCGGUCAGGCCGCGGAGGAACGCCUCCGGGUCGUUCGGCCGGUGCGCGCCGUCGGCGACGAGGACGUUCCAGCCGGCCGCCGUCGCGC